rnacentral:rRNA from 1 species
ACGAACGCUGGCGGCGUGCUUAACCCAUGCCAGUCGAACGGAAAGGCCCUGCUUUUGUGGGGUGCUCGAGUGGCGAACGGGUGAGUAACACGUGAGUAACCUGCCCUUGACUUUGGGAUAACUUCAGGAAACUGGGGCUAAUACCGGAUAGGAGCUCCUGCUGCAUGGUGGGGGUUGGAAAGUUUCGGCGGUUGGGGAUGGACUCGCGGCUUAUCAGCUUGUUGGUGGGGUAGUGGCUUACCAAGGCUUUGACGGGUAGCCGGCCUGAGAGGGUGACCGGCGACAUUGGGACUGAGAGACGGCCCAGACUCCUACGGGAGGCAGCAGUGGGGAAUAUUGCACAAUGGGCGGAAGCCUGAUGCAGCAACGCCGCGUGCGGGAUGACGGCCUUCGGGUUGUAAACCGCUUUCGCCUGUGACGAAGCGUGAGUGACGGUAAUGGGUAAAGAAGCACCGGCUAACUACGUG